UACAGAGGUCUCAAGCGUUGUUCGGAAUCACUGGGCGUAAAGGGUGCGUAGGCCGCACGGAAAGUCAGAGGUGAAAUCCCGGAGCUCAACUUCGGAAUUGCCUCCGAUACUCCCGUGCUUGAGGACUGGAGAGGAGUCUGGAAUUCACAGUGGAGCAGUGAAAUGCGUAGAUAUUGUGAGGAACACUAGUGGCGAAGGCGAGACUCUGGACAGUUCCUGACGCUGAGGCACGAAGGCCAGGGGAGCAAAACGGGG
rnacentral:rRNA from 1 species